rnacentral:rRNA from 1 species
CNUNGGGAGCUCUCCCAUAUGGUCGACCUGCAGGCGGCCGCGAAUUCACUAGUGAUUAGAGUUUGAUCCUGGCUCANAUUGAACGCUGGCGGCGUGCUUAACACAUGCAAGUCGAACGUGAAAGUCCUUCGGGACGAGUAAAGUGGCGCACGGGUGAGUAACGCGUGGAUAAUCUACCCUUAAGAUGGGGAUAACGGCUGGAAACGGUCGCUAAUACCGAANACGCUCCCGAUUUUAUCGUUGGGGGGAAAGAUGGCCUCUGCUUGCAAGCUAUCGCUUAAGGAUGAGUCCGCGUCCCAUUAGCUAGUUGGCGGGGUAACGGCCCACCAAGGCGACNAUGGGUAGCCGGUCUGAGAGGAUGACCGGCCACACUGGAACUGGAACACGGUCCAGACUCCUACGGGAGGCAGCAGUGGGGGAUAUUGCGCAAUGGGCGAAAGCCUGACGCANCGACGCCNCGUGAGGGAUGAAGGUUCUCGGAUCGUAAACCUCUGUCAGGGGGGAAGAAACCCCCUCGUGUGAAUAAUGCGAGGGCUUGACGGUACCCCCAAAGGAAGCACCGGCUAACUCCGUGCCAGCAGCCGCGGUAAUACGGAGGGUGCAAGCGUUAAUCGGAAUCACUGGGCGUAAAGCGCACGUAGGCGGCUUGGUAAGUCAGGGGUGAAAUCCCACAGCCCAACUGUGGAACUGCCUUUGAUACUGCCAGGCUUGAGUACCGGANAGGGUGGCGGAAUUCCNGGUGUANGAGUGAAAUCCGUANAUAUCUGGAGGAACACCGGUGGCG